AGAUACUAUUACAUGUUGCUUCAUUUUACCAUAAAUUGUGUUAAAAAAGUGAUUUGCUCAUUUGGCUGAUGUUACAGUUUUCUGAUAUGUUUUGUUUGGAUGAUAUUAGAACAAUUUCAAUAUGAAAGUGCAGGUGCAUCAAAAUACUGAUAAAAUCCGUUUCCAGCUUGAUUGUAUUUGCAUUGUUGCGGACAAAGUUGUGCAAUGGUGGGCUUAUGUCACAUACUCGUAUGUAAUUCCAUGUGCAUGCUUGUACUUUGAUGCCUCAAGAGAUGCUUCGAAUGUGUAAUAAAGGACUGUUCGCAGGAGUUGGGCUGUCUGGCCUUAAAUUGCAUUGUUUUUAUGAUAUUUUAAGAUUGUAUUCAUAUGGCUGGACCAUCUUGCCAUUGCCACAAUGUCUGAUGUUUAAACAGGCUUUAAAAUCAGGUUACAAUGCAUGCUUGAAAAUAUGCAACAAUUUCACUGCUAAUAAUAUUCCAGAAAAUCCUGCCUUUUGGGAAGAUCUGGACUGAUUUGUCAGAGGGGGUUGGAGGUUUUCUACUUGUGAUCGGGAAGGGGAGCUAGCCAAGGGUGUUGGGUCAGAGUCAAACUCAUGUGAACAGCUUCUAAGUCCUAAUUAUAUUGAUAAAUGUACACUUUGGGAUGAUAAUGCAAUAUGUAAAAUAUUCCAC
rnacentral:lncRNA from 1 species